ACAACCUCACCUCUUGGGGGACCCCCCCCCGAAUUUAACCCUAUUAAGGGGGGGAGGAAAAAGAAAGAAAAAAAAGGUCGGA
rnacentral:rRNA from 1 species